rnacentral:rRNA from 1 species
UACGGAGGGUGCAAGCGUUGUCCGGAAUCACUGGGCGUAAAGGGCGCGUAGGCGGCCCGGUAAGUAGGGGGUGAAAUCCUGCGGCUUAACCGCAGGGCUGCCUUCUAAACUGUCGGGCUCGAGCACGGUAGAGGCAGAUGGAAUUCCCGGUGUAGCGGUGAAAUGCGUAGAUAUCAAGAGGAACACCUGAGGUGAAGACGGGUUGCUGGGCUGAUACUGACGCUGAGGCGCGAAAGCUAGGGUAGCAAACGGG